rnacentral:RNase_P_RNA from 1 species
CAGGGUAAGCGGAUGAUCGUCCAGCCCCAGUUUUUAUAGAUAAAUAUUAAAAUUUUUAUUUUAAAAUAACUGUGAUUUAAUAAUUUUUCGUUUUUUAUCUAUAGAAACUGGAGCUGGGAGGAAAGUCCGGACUCCUGCCUACGCCAAGUCUUCCACCGUCGUUAAAACUCUGGUGGACAAGUCGGCGGGCAAGCCAGUAAUGGUUGCGCCCGUGAAAGUAUUUGGCUAGGUGUCGUGGCAAUGGCUAACGGCCAUCAAGAGCAAUCUUAGGGAAAGUGCCACAGAGACAAUACUAGCCGCCGCGUAGCGGCGGAAAUUACAAUAGCCAAGAAACAAACACCAAACAAAUUAAAAAUUCUAAUAACCAAAUUUUUGGAAAUUGGGAUUUGUAAAUUGAUUAUUGUUUGGUUAUUGUAUCUUGAUUUGAAAUUUCUGCUGUCGCGCGGCGGUGAAAGGUGAAAAGUUUUUCGAUGCUUGGGUUAUAUAGGAUAUCCGAUUAACUUAGGCUACGGAAUUCGUCCUUUGGCGACAGAGAGACGCGGUAAACCCUGCCUGGAGCAAGAGCAAACUCGUCCAAAAAAUUGGGCGAGAGAAAGUGGCUCGCUUGAGCCUCGCCGUAAGGCGCGGCCCAGAUAGAUGAUCAUCUCCAGCCCAGUAUCUUAAACUGGAGCUGCAACAGAAUCCGGCUUAUAGCUUGCCCUGAAAU